rnacentral:rRNA from 1 species
UACGUAGGUGACAAGCGUUGUCCGGAUUUACUGGGCGUAAAGAGCGCGCAGGCGGUCGAUCAAGUCGAGUGUGAAAGCCCCCGGCUCAACUGGGGAGGGUCAUUCGAUACUGAUCGACUCGAAGGCAGGAGAGGGUAGUGGAAUUCCCGGUGUAGUGGUGAGAUGCGUAGAUAUCGGGAGGAACACCAGUGGCGAAGGCGACUACCUGGCCUGUUCUUGACGCUGAGGCGCGAAAGCUAGGGGAGCAAACGGG